GAGAAAGUGUAAAAAUGUAUAACAAUUAAAAAACUGUUGGGAUAAGGAGGUGUAAUUCGAAAACUAUUACUAAUUUUGUCGAUUUUCACUUUCCAGACAUUGAAGUGAUUUCAACUAAUGUUGGGAGUCUUUUAGGAGUCGCCAGUGGCGUGGCAAUAUUUUCCGCCUUAAUAUGUUUCGUACUUAAACUGUUUGUGGGAUUAAGACCCAGGCACUAUGCGACUACUCAUCUAUCUACGCCCAUCAUUUACGCUAAAGAUAAAGGUAUCGUGGUGGGCCUGAACGGGAUGCAGGGGCGGCCCUCGUACCGGAGCAGCCGCUCCUCGAGCCAGCGGUCUGUGAACACGGGCUCCUUCUCUCGGCAGGGAAGUCGGGGAGUCCUCGUGCCUUCCUCCAGAGCAGGUGCCGCUCGUAUAGCCGCCAUUCGGCUCCUCAUCUCUUGUCACUUCAACGCACAAAAUAAUCAUGUUCAUGGUUCCCGUCGACCAAGUAUGACGUCAGUGCAGAGCGCUUCCUCGGGGCGGAGCAUGAGCUACAGCAUGAUGCGCUUCGAGAAAGAGAGAGAGCAAAAGACUGAACGAGAGGCGCGCCGAAAAGCGUCGUCGGGGCUUGGAGCAGGAGCUGUCACUCCCACACCACCCACGCCCAGCCCAAAUCCCUCUAACGAGAAACUCCUCUUGGAAAACACAAUUCAACCUCAGGUAUUUUCAGAGACGAGACGAACGGGCAGUUUACGACGACCAACAACAGCGAUGGUGAUAGGACCAGAGACGAGCGAGGCAAGACUCGGGAGUUGCUCCCCUCUGAAUCACCUGACGAUUGAGUCUCAUCUUUUGACUGAGCGAAUUCCAGAGGAAUCAUUAGAGACUUAGCCGAUCUCAUCGAGAACUCCAAUACGUAAAAACUCAUCGUCACUCAGCAAUUCCAAUUUUUCGAAGAUCAAUAUCGAUGGUCCAAGUGCGAAACCACGUAUCCUUGUUUGCGACUUUUUAGACUUCCUGUCAUACUUUAUUGUUUCCCUGGGAAACUAGUCAGGGCCGGAUUCAGGGGGUGGCCACAUGGGCCGCGGCCCAUGGCGGCAAUUUUAGGGGGCGGCAAAUUUUGCAAUUUUUUAAAUGUAGAUAUAAAAAAAUUGGAUUCAGAAAAAAAUUACAAACAAGAAAAGGCGACAAAAUAUCUCAUUUCCAGAGAGUAUAGUAAGUUCUAAUUUUGUCGACCUUUGGUGAUACAAGAGACAGAACCUUUAAUCAGUUGAGUCUGGAACGGCGCGGCGCAGAGAGCAAUGAUGACGAGGACUUGAGAUGAAAAGGAGAAGCCCUCGGCGCGGCGGUCGGAAUUUAACACGCAGCGCCUACAAAACUGCAUGAAUACUUCACGCAUUGCGUCAAACACAAUGCGGUGAGCAGCAGUCGACGUGAAACGCAUAGCGCCUACAAGACUGCAUGAAUACUUCACGCAUUGCGUCAAACACAGUGCGGUCAUUGCGGACAGCGCGAAACGGAUAGCGCCUACAAGAAUGCAUGAAUACUUCACGCAUUGCGUCAAACACAGUGCGGUCAGCGAGGCGCGGCGGCAGAAGUUAAAAUUAUUGAGCCACAUUUAUGUUUGUUCUUUCAUAAUUUUUUUGUUCAUAUCUUAUAAAUGGAAGGCCUUGUCCACACAGAGAUAGGUUCACGGAACUUAACUUUCGCGCAAAGUUUCGUGAAAUUUUGCUGGUAGUGUUGACAGGGCUUUCGCAAAAAAAUGUUUCCAACACGAGUUAACGCGUCUCAUGCACCCCUCCCCCUCCGGCACUUUACUUGAUGGUUUUUAUUGAUGUUUCAAAACGAAUGCGACCCAUGGGCGGCAAGUGGGUAAAUCGGGCCCUGAAACUAGUCAUCCCAAUUUUUCGAGAACUUCCUUGAGUUUUCUGGCAGAAUAUUCUGUAAAAAUUUCAAGCUAUAAAGUUGACUUGUUUCCGCUCGAAAAUAUAAAAUAGGAGCGGCAAUCUUGAAACACUGCAAUGGAAAUGCAUGGUUUCGCACUUUGGUUUAUCGAUAUGCCACGGUAAGUUACUCUGCCGUCCACAGUAAAAAGGCCGUAUCUCAAUGCUAUCCUUUGUCGGCUGUUUUCUGGAAAAAUGCUUUUCUCGAAGAAAACCGACAACGGUACUGCCGUGCUCAGGAUUAAUACCGUAUGAACAUCCGAGAGUUGCCAAUUUUCCGUCGAUAAAAUUUUUAUGUUUGAAGGAAGCUACGAAUAUGUUUCCUUGAAAUUUUCAGGAACUUGAGGUGAAAUUGCGAACAAAUUAUAUGAAAAUUGAAGGAUAAAUAUUGACAAAUUUUCCAGAAAAUUCGUGAUUUAUCAGAGGAAAUUUGGCAACACCUGGAGGAUCAUACGGCGUUUUUCCUUAGCACGGCAGAGUAGAAUGUCAAUUUUCCCGCGCUGCAGUCUGUUAUCCGCGCACCGGUAUUAUCCGCGACUUUUUUUGGUGGUUCUCGGCCGGGCUAAUGAUUCUAAAACCUGUGGAAUGGAUCGCAGCCCAGAAACAUUGCAAUUCUAUGGUACAAAUUUCUAAAAAGACGUCUUCUAGAAAUUAUAUAUAACCUGAAAAAAACUUCUCCUGAGGUGGGUAAAGUUUAUUCAUUUUUCUACUAAUAUAUGUAAUUACAUUUCUGCCUAUUAUUUGCCAAGUUCUCAGUAGAUUCGUUUAAAAUACAGACUUUCAGAUAGUUUUUGUUGCGGCCAAGUAGCAUAAUUCAAUCCGGAUUAACCGCGAUUUUCGGUUAUACGCGAUAUUUGAUUAUAUGCGAUUUUCGAUUAUCCGUCCCUACCAUCGUGGACAAUCAACACUUCUCUGUAAUAUUCAUGUUUCAAUUUUUUUAAAUGAUUCUAUAUCAUGCUUUUGGGGUUUUCAAUAUGAAAAAAUGAGAGCUAGUGUGGCAAUCAGGUAUCCUUGUAACAGUUCAUCACGUGUCGAGGAAAAAUGCGAAAAUACAGAUAUACGGCGUUUUUGCUUCAGACGGCAGUAACUGGCUCCAACUCUUCGCAACGAGGGUAUGAAACUGAUGGGGCGAGAGGAAAGAGAAAGGGUAGCUGAGUUUUUUGUUUUUGUUUUUUUUGUUUUGGUUAAGGUGGUCCACUGUGACUUUUUUUAACAAUUGCUUCACCAUUCGAUCUAAGUUUGUAUUUUCCUUAGAGAAUUUGCAGUUUUCCGAAAUUUAAUGAAUAUCAUCUGCAAACAGAAACUACUGAGUGAACUGAGCACAAAAAUGUCCUCGAUAUCUGACAGAGUCUUUUCUGCUCAAAAAUAUGUGUGUAAUUGGGAAACACCACACUAUGGCGCCACUGGGCGAUGGUCUCAAUUUUAAAUACAUUUUCCUCCAAUUUUCUGUAACAGGAAAAAAUCAUAAAAAUUACCGUGACCUCAGCUCAUAGAGCACUUUUAGAUGAAGCAAUAAAAUGUUCUCGUGCCGUACAUAUUCUCUAUCAAGCCUUUUCAAGCGGAGUUUUUAAAUGAGACUGGGUGAAAACAUCAUUACAGUUUGUUUUCUAUUGUAUUAAUAUAAAUACCUACUUUGGAAACUGCAUCACGCCAGCGAGGAAAGUGACCAAUAUGAAAAUCCAGCAGGGCCAUUAUGUAUGCCUUUUACCUUAUUUUAUUUAUAAUGUCACUUAUGCUUAAGGACAUAAGAAGGGUAGUUGUUGUGUUUUGUAUACAAUCUAUUGUAAUGUAUAAUUAAACCAAUAACAAUUUUGUAAUUUUUAUGAAUAAAUUAAUGUCCAAUUUACUUCGAGUAAUUUGCAGUAGUUUUCAUUUAUUUUUUCAGGCCAUUGAACUAGCACCUGUAGAGCUUCCUUGAUUAAUGCAAGGAGUUUUUCAUUCUUUGAGGUGGUUUCAAAAUUUCGAGGGUCUCAUCAUGCCAUAAGAAACACUACAUGUCCCUUUUUAAUCGUACAACCUCUUACUUGAAUAUAUGAUAACUCAAUUCUGUAAGAAUUGUGGAUGUAGGAUAGUCAAGUAAAGUAUUUGGGUUUUUGAUCAUAAAAAAAAAGAAAAGAAAAGUUUAGUCGGGAAAUUUUCUUGCUGUUUUUGACAAGAAUGAACUGUAAAAUUGAAUAAAAGGCGAGGAAAUGAGCCUGAGUGUUGGAUGUUUUUUACCCUAAGACGAGGAGUAUUCGGAAUCAUUUAUUUUAAUAUAUUUUAAAUAAAGACACCUCACUCCUUCAGUCGUGAAAUUCUUCAAUGCUUGAGAGAUACAUAUUCUUAGAGAGCCGCACUGCUACAUAUUGCCUGGUGCUGCAUUUUUCGUUCUACAUAUAAUAAGGGCAAGUAGCAGUAGUAUCUUUAUUGUAGUUUUGUUUCCACCAUUCAAUCUAACUUGUGAUCUUUUUCCUUUUAGAUGGCAAAAUAAAAGGUGUGGUUGAAGACUUAUUUCUUUUGAAAGUAAAAAAAAUUAUAAAACAAGGACAAGGAUAAAUAAAUUUUUUUCUACUGCUUUUUUACAGGGCAGAUAAACGGUGUUUUUAAUAAGGAGCGUAUUUUCGAAUUUCGCGCCAAAUUUUCAUAUUUGAUACAAGGUCGUUGAAAAGCGCGCAAAGAAUUUGGGCCAAUCAGAGCGAAUUAAAUGAAAAACACAAAAAAUGUGAUAAAAGUUCGAAUUUUGAGGUUAUCUACACACUGUCAUCUCUCCCACGUAAUCAGUAAUCACGAUUUCCCCGAUUUCCUUGAUAACUUUGAUAAUCAAGCAAAAGAUAAAGAUUGCUCGCUGUUCACAAUCUGCUUCCUCCGUUAUCCUUCAACAUUUUCACAAUUUUUGUAAACAAGUGAUCAUGUAAGCGAGAAACAGGAAAGUCAACUCGGAAUUCCAAUCAAUCACUGGUAAUUGAGAGCUAGAGUAAGUACCCUUAUUUUCUCUUCCUUUUUUUUCUAUUCACUCUCUCUUUAAGCACUAUAUUAUGUAGCAUAAUUUUAAUAUAUAUCUAUAAUUAUCAUAUGAUUAAACUAAGUAAAUUUCUUGAUCAACCAAAUCAUUUAGAUGUCAUAAUGUUCAUGAGUCUGGAGUUUUACUUGUCGCUUGAUGCCGUGAAAUCAUGUGCACAGAAUACAUAAGUAAGUUGUACAUUAACACCUGAAAGACUACUUGUGUCUUUGCACUCAAAUUAUAUUCUAGCCGUUCCAUUUCCCGUAUCAAAUCAAUAGGCCUUUGUUCCAUCAAGGAACUUCCCAAGGAAGACGGGUGUUCUUUUUGCUAUUGCUAAAUCUAAUUGUAAGUUGAAAAUAUAAAUUUUGGCUGUGUAGAUGAGUCUUAGACCCAGAGACAGGUCGGAAAUGAAGAGUUUUACUGGGGAAAGAGUAGGAAAAGGUACUGCGAUGAUUAUCAUAAUCUGCAAAAUAUUGGAAAGAUGUAAGUGCUGCUCUCUCAGCAUAUGUUUAUAUUUUAUUUUAUUUUAUUUUAUUUUACCGUUUGAAGACCUUCAUUGGUCCAAUCAAUUGCAACGUAAGUUGAUUCUUAUUCUAAAUAAAUAAACCUU
rnacentral:lncRNA from 1 species